rnacentral:rRNA from 1 species
AUUGAACGCUGGCGGCAUGCCUUACACAUGCAAGUCGAACGGUAGAGGGGGCAACCCCUUGAGAGUGGCGAACGGGUGAGUAAAGCAUCGGAACGUGCCCAGUAGUGGGGGAUAGCCCGGCGAAAGCCGGAUUAAUACCGCAUACGACCUACGGGUGAAAGGGGGGGAUCGCAAGACCUCUCGCUAUUGGAGCGGCCGAUGUCAGAUUAGGUAGUUGGUGGGGUAAAGGCCUACCAAGCCGACGAUCUGUAGCUGGUCUGAGAGGACGACCAGCCACACUGGGACUGAGACACGGCCCAGACUCCUACGGGAGGCAGCAGUGGGGAAUUUUGGACAAUGGGCGCAAGCCUGAUCCAGCCAUGCCGCGUGCGGGAAGAAGGCCUUCGGGUUGUAAACCGCUUUUGUCAGGGAAGAAACCUUCUGGGUUAAUACCCUGGGAGGAUGACGGUACCUGAAGAAUAAGCACCGACUAACUACGUGCCAGCCGCCGCGGUAA